UGGGACUUCAUAAAAUUGCAAAGCUUAUAUAAGGAGAAAUACUGACUUGGAAAUUUUUUAUUUGAAUAUCCAGAAAAAGAUGACUGCACUGUUAACUUAAGAAGCACAGACAAUCUCAAAAAUAAGGAACCAAACAAAAAAGUACAUGAACAACAUCACCACCAAUAACAAAAAUCCAGAGUAUUUGCAUCUUUGUGAAAAUUUGUAAUCCCAUACAAGACUCUGAGAUCUGGCUUAUCCUGAACUUGAAUCUCCACACAAAUCCUCCUUUCCAUCACAUCCUAAGAUGGGUUGAACCUCUCUGAGGACAACAUUUUCUUCUAUCUGCAAAUAUAACAUACUAUUUUUAAUAAUGUUGGGAAUUGGUGCCUGCCCAUGGGAUGGGUCUCAAGAUAGGCUGGAUUUUAGUUGACAGCUUCCGGUCUUUGCUCCAUCCCCCAAGCCCACAGUUCUUAUAAAUAGGAUAAAUUUGGGGAGGAUAAAUAGUCAUAAGGGGCAGAUGGAAGGAGGGACCUGGGAGG
rnacentral:sRNA from 1 species